AAAUUAAAUUCUUGCCUAUAUUCCCCUGAACACAGAAAGUCUAACCUAUUGUGUUGUUCUCUUCCCCGUGAGACAAGCCGUUAUAUAGGCUCAACAAAA
rnacentral:snoRNA from 14 species